rnacentral:rRNA from 1 species
UGGGGAAUUUUGCGCAAUGGGGGAAACCCUGACGCAGCAACGCCGCGUGGAGGAUGAAGUCCCUUGGGACGUAAACUCCUUUCGAUCGGGACGAUAAUGACGGUACCGGAAGAAGAAGCCCCGGCUAACUUCGUGCCAGCAGCCGCGGUAAUACGAGGGGGGCAAGCGUUGUUCGGAAUUAUUGGGCGUAAAGGGUGCGUAGGUGGUUCGGCAAGUCUUGUGUGAAAUCUUCAGGCUCAACUUGAAGUCUGCACAAGAAACUGCCGGGCUUGAGUAUGGGAGAGGUGAGUGGAAUUUCCGGUGUAGCGGUGAAAUGCGUAGAUAUCGGAAGGAACACCUGUGGCGAAAGCGGCUCACUGGACCAUUACUGACACUGAGGCACGAAAGCUAGGGGAGCAAACA